GGUUAGGGUUAGGGUUUAGGGUUUGCAUGGGGUAUAUAAACCUAGAUUCUAGGAUCACAUAGAUUAUAUAAAGGGUUUAGAAAGUUGGGCUUGGAGUAUGUAAAGAGAAGAUAGAUUUAAGAAUUCACACAAACAAAAAUAAAUUGGAUGUGGAGUGUGAAGGAUGAAGAAUUGAAGACAUUAAGUUUCAGUGGUGAUGGAUUAGUUAGUGGGCAAUGAUUACCUGUACGAUGCAUUAGUUAGCAAGUCAUUAACAUAUUUGUACAACCAAUUGAUUGCACACACACAAAUUUAUCUCCAAAGUGACAUGUAAACGAUUUAGUGGAUUUUUGACAUGACAUGGACUACCACGUGGCAGCCACAUCAGCAAGGUAACACGUGGCACUUGAAAAAAUCAAUUUAGUAUUCUUCUGCCUUUUAUUUUUCUACCUUAUUCCAGUUAAUUAAAUUACUUUAAUAUUUUUAAUUCACCAAUUUAUUUUUAUUUUUUAUUUAUAUUUCUGUCUAGGCGCAAGACUGGGCGGCCAGCAAGGAGUCGAGACAGGGAGUUAAUUUUAAAAUUGAUUUUUUAAAAAAUGAUUUAUUUAUUUAUUUCCACCUAUGCGGAAGACUGGGCGGCCAACGAGGAGUCGAGACAGCCAGGAGUCGGGACUUGGGCAAGGGAGCGGGACAAGAGGUCGGGACUCGCGGCGGGACAAGGAAGAGGAGGAGGAAGUCCGGGACUCGCGACGGGACUGGGACUCGCGCCGGGACUAGGGAGUCGCGGCGGGACAAGGAAGAGGAGGAGGAAGUCCGGGACUCGCGACGGGACUGGGACUCGCGCCGGGACUAGGGAGUCGCGGCGGGACAAGGAAGAGGAGGAGGAAGUCCGGGACUCGCGACGGGACUGGGACUCGCGCCGGGACUAAGGAGUCGCGGCGGCACAAGGAAGAGGAGGAGGAACUCCGGGACUCGCGACGGGACUGGGACUCGCGCCGGGACUAGGGAGUCGCGGCGGGACAAGGAAGAGGAGGAGGAAGUCCCGGACUCGCGACUGGA
rnacentral:lncRNA from 1 species